AGAUAAAUAGGUAUUGCUCCGGCAGGAAGGUAAGCUGCGUUUCCGUGCGCUGCUCUGGUUCGCCAGAAGCGGCUUAGUCAUGCUGGCCACAUGACCCGGAAGCUGUACGCCGGCUCCCUCAUCCAAUAAAGCGAGAUGAGUGCCGCAACCCCAGAGUCGGCCAUGACUGGACCUAAUGGUCAGGGGUCCCUUUACCUUUAAGGUAUCUGCACACACCAUCAAAAGGUCUUUUACAUCUUCCUAGAACUAAUAUCAAGCACACACGUUUCUCUUUUUUUCCUUUUUUACAUUAAAGGACCUUUCUGGGCAGAAGGAAGAAAGGCGCAGACAGACAGGGUUCUGUCGACAAGCCUCUUUGGCUCAAAGACAUGUAUCAGCCUCUGGAUGAUGCUCGGAGGAGGAGCAUGAUUGGUAAACUCCACGAUGAAGAGACCUCGGAUGAGGAAGAUAUAUUCAACUGGGCCAAAUCAAGGGAACCACCCCCUGUGGAAAAGCCCAGUUCAGUAAAAGUGUAAGUACCUACCCCCUUGCAGUACGUCUCUGGGCUGUUAGUUAUGCCCUAGGUUUAAAAAUUGGGGUUCACCUGGGAUGCAACCGGCUGCUACAGAGUUAAGUUUGUGCUUUUGCUGAUUUGCAAAGCAAGAGAUGAUGCGAAAAUUCUCUCUUUAAGUUUUAUAUUCCGAAAAGUCUUCCGCUUCCUAAUGGAAUACGUAUCUGGAAAGGGGAAUAAUCUCACACUCCAGUCCUCAGCCCUGCUAAACCGAAUCAGUCUCCAAGGCUCUCCUGUUGUUUAGCAAGGAAAGAGAAGUUAGGCUAGUACUAGCUAGUUCCGUCCAAUCGGCUUUUGCUAUCAUUCCAUGUCAACGUAGUCUGAAGGGUUAGUUAGAAAAGUGAAGAGGGGCUUGUUUGGGGCUUUGGUAAGGCAAGAUCUGAAGCCCCACUUAAAGUGAAACUGAGGACCCCUUCAGACAUCUUAUAUACUGCACAUUCAUGCCUCAACCAGAGCCAGGGCCUUUUCAACACUGGCUCCAGCCUGGUGGAACGCUCUGUCUCAUGAGACCAGGGCCCUGCAGAAUCUGAUUUCUUUCCGCAGAGCCUGUAAGACGGAGUUGUUCCGCCCGGCCUUCGGCUUGGAAUCAAUUUGAUUCCCUCCUCCUCUAUCUUUUUU
rnacentral:lncRNA from 1 species